rnacentral:rRNA from 1 species
GACGAACGCUGGCGGCGUGCCUAAUACAUGCAAGUGAAGUUCAGUGGCGGACGGGUGAGUAACACGUGGGUAACUACCCAUCAGAGGGGGAUAACUACUGGAAACGGUAGCUAAUACCGCAUACUAUCCGAUAACCCAUAUGGGAUUAGCUAGUUGGUGGGGUAAUGGCUCACCAAGGCGACGAUCCCUAGCUGGUCUGAGAGGAUGAUCAGCGACACUGGAACUGGGACACGGCCCAGAGUCCUACGGAGGCAGCAGUGGGGAAUAGUGCACAAGUGGCGCAAGCCUGAUGCAGUCAGGCCGCGUGUAUGAAGAAGGCCCUAGGGUUGUAAAGUACUUUCAGUCGGGAGGCGUUACCGGCAGAAGAAGCACCGGCUAACUCCGUGCCAGCCGCCGCGGUAAUUC